rnacentral:lncRNA from 1 species
AGGCCACGUCAUCCCCGCAGUCCACCUCGCCAUCAAGCUCGCCUCCGAAGGUUUCACUAUCACUUUUAUCAACACCCACUACAUCCACCACAAGAUCACCUCCUCAUCGGCAGCCGGUGGCGCCGGAGACGACUUUUUCGCCGGCGUCCGGGAAACGGGGUUGGACAUAAGGUACAAAACCGUUUCGGAUGGGAAACCGCUCGGGUUCGACCGGUCGCUGAAUCACAAUGAAUUCAUGGCUUCGGUUAUGCAGGUGCUUCCUGUCCACGUGGAGGAGUUGGUCGCCGGGAUGGUCGCCGCCGGUGAGGAGGAGGAGGAGAAGGUUAGUUGUUUGGUGGCCGACACUUUCUUUGUAUGGUCGUCGAAGGUUGCGAAGAAGUUCGGGUUGGUUUACGUUUCGGUUUGGACCGAACCGGCUUUGGUUUUCACCUUGUACCAUCAUGUCCACCUUCUCCGUCAAAAUGGCCACUUUGGUUGUCAAGGUAAUUUUUACUAAUAGAGGUUAGUGAAAUAUGGAAAACUUUUAUGAACUAAAUUGUGGGUUUUUUUUUAAUUACAUCUAGGUCGAAGAGAUGACCCAAUAGACUAUAUACCGGGAGUAAAAAUAAUCGAACCGAAAGACACUCCAUCGUCUCUCCAAGGGGAUGAUGAUGAGACUGUUAUUGACCACCAAGUAGUCUUUGGAGCGAUCCAAGAUGCUAAGAGCGCGGAUUUCAUACUAGCCAACACCAUCCAAGAGCUCGAACAAGACACGCUGGCGGGUUUAAAAUUGGCUCAUGAAGCCCAGGUCUAUGCUAUCGGCCCCAUUUUCCCAACCGAGUUCACUAAGAGUCUUGUCAGCACGAGUUUAUGGUCUGAGUCGGAUUGCACUCGAUGGUUGAACUCCAAACCACUUGGCUCGGUCCUCUACGUGUCAUUUGGGACAUUUGCCCACAUGGCUAAACCCGACCUUGUGGAGAUAGCGCGUGGGUUCGCCCUCAGUGGGGUAAGUUUUCUCUGGACGUUGCGCAACGAUAUUGUGAGCUCGAACGAUCCAGAUCCUUUACCUUUCGGAUUCAGAGAAGAGGUUUCCGAUCGGGCAAUGAUUGUCGGGUGGUGUAAUCAAAAGGAAGUGCUAGCCCACACGGCUAUUGGAGGAUUCUUAACCCACUGCGGGUGGAACUCGGUGCUGGAGAGCACAUGGUGUGGAGUACCGAUGUUAUGUUUUCCUUUGUUUGUGGAUCAGUUCACAAAUCGAAAACUGGUGGUGGAUGAUUGGAAGGUCGGGAUCAAUCUUAUUAGUGACCGGGCGGUUGUGACGAAAGAGGAAGUAGCGAUGAAUGCCAACCAUCUGAUGGUUGGAAAAUCAAGAAAUGAGUUAAAGGAAAGGAUCAACGGGUUGCAGAAAAUCUUGGUGGAUGCAAUCAAGCCUAGUGGAUCGUCCAAGCAAAAUUUUGCCCGAUUUGUUAGAGAACUCAAUGACACAAUUAUACAGAGAAAAGAAAGUUGGUAGAAUCUCUAUAUAAUGUUAUAAAACUAAGCUAAAGAGAGAAGAGAAUAUAGGAGAGGGAAAUAGUUUUUUAUUAAAGUAGGUGGAAUAUUACAAAUGAUAGUUUUAUUUAUAUAUUUAUGGAAUCAUAAUUUAUACUUGUUAAUAUUAUUAUACAUAAAAAAGUAAAAUAAAAUAUAUUAAAUCAUACCCAUAAAAGAAAAGAAUAAAAUACAUUAAAUAAUAAAAUAAAGAAUUACACCAUUAAACAUUCACUAUGAUAAUUAUCCUUAUAAAUAACUAAUUUUGGAAUCAAAUUAAUUAAAAUUGGUAUUCUGCUUUUAACAUAUAAAUUGUUAUUGCCGCUGCCGUAAGAGAGUUUUCUCUCUAGGGUUUUUAGCUCAUCGCCUGUUGCCGUCGAUUAGAGUUCAGUAUUCUUUCAAUUGAGAGAUUUAUGAUAACAGUGUUGAUCAUAUUCUUUUGCUUGUGCAAGAAACGAUUAGGGUUUUGAAGCAGAAGCCAGUUGGGUUUUUUUUAUUCAAAAAACGGUUAGGGUUUUGCUUCCUUCUUUCGAUAGAAAAUUCGUGAUGGUUUUUCGGGACGAAAGGAUGUUGUCAUAGUAGACGCGCAGCGGUUGAGCGAGGAAGAACAAGCGCAUCGUUCGAGGAUAUACAGAAACACCCAAAAAAUCAGAUAACAGUAGACCUGACCAAUAGGUCCUGCUACAAGGAGUGAUCCGUUGGAAAGAACUCACUUCCGGUAUCGGCCUCUUCGAAUGUUUGAUGUUUUGGGUGUCCCCAAUCCGGACUUUACCGGUCGUUUACUGCUUUCUUAGUAUCAGAUGUAUCUUUUAGUUUGAACAUUUAAUUUUUCUUGAUUUCGUAGUCGGGUUGUUCUUAGCGCCUGAUUUGUAAGCCUCCGUUCAAAAAAUUUUUUAUUUAGGAUGACUGGUAACAUGAAUGUGUUAGCAUAUAUUAACUCUUUAUGUCGUGCUUUACCCAUUAUGGAUGAUAAUCUUCCUAAAGAUUCAUUUGAUGAGAUGAACAUCUUUGAACAAGAGUUUUAAUAAUAUAAGUAACCUUUUUCGAAAAAAAAAUAUAAAUUGUUAUUUAUGGAUCGGUUAAAAAUAAAAAUAUAUGAACAAAAGAUACAAUUUAACAAGUUAGGGACCAUAAAUGAUAACUGCCUUAUCAUUGAUCAUCCUCAGCCACUGAUCCUUCACAUAUAUAUCCAUACAAGAAAAUCCCUCCAAAAUAAUAUCACACCAAUAAAACUAUGGCGGAGGAGUCUCGUGACGCCGGCGGCAACCACCAUCGGAAGCCACACGCCAUCGUCAUCCCUUUCCCACUUCAAGGACACGUCAUCCCCGCCGUCCACCUGGCCGUCAAGCUCGCCUCCCAAGGUUUCACUAUCACCUUCGUCAACACCGAAUACAUCCACCACAAGACCUCCUCCUCCGCUGGCGGAUGCGACGAGGACUUUUUCGCCGGCGUCAGGAAAUCUGGGUUGGAUAUAAGGUACAAAACCAUAUCGGACGGGUUGCCACUCCGGUUCGACCGGUCAUUGAACCAUGACCAGUUCAUGGCUUCUAUGUCCCACGUGUUCCCUGCCCACGUGGAAGAGUUGGUCGCCGGGAUGGUUGCCGCCGGUGAGGAGGAGAAAGUUAGCUGUUUGAUUACCGACACCUUCUUCGCGUGGCCGUCAAAGGUUGUCAAGAAGUUCGGAUUGGUUUUCGUUUCGAUUUGGACCCAACCGGCUUUGGUUUUCACCUUGUACCAUCAUGUCCACCUUCUUCGCCAAAAUGGUCACUACGGUUGUCAAGGUAAUCAUCUAAUCCAAGUUUUGUGGAGGUUAGUAAAGAUGGUAGAAGAAUUUUUCUUCUGAAUAUAAUCGUAAUUUUCAAUUCCAUUUAGAUCGAAGAGAGGACUCGAUAGACUAUAUACCAGGAGUAAAAAAAAUCGAACCAAAAGACUUGCCGUCAAUUCUUCAAGAAAUCGAUGAGACCAGUCUUUUCAUCCAAGCAACUUUCCAUGUGCUUCAAGAUGUCAAGAGUGCGGAUUUUAUAUUGGCCAAUACGGUUCAAGAGCUUGAACAUGACACGAUCUCAAGUCUAAAACAAGCAUACAACGACCAAUUCUAUGCUAUCGGGCCUGUCUUCCCACCCGGGUUCACCAUAAGCCCGGUAAGCACUAGUUUGUGGCCGGAGUCGGACUGCACCCAGUGGUUAAACUCUAAGCCAAGUGGCUCUGUCCUCUAUGUCUCAUUCGGGAGCUAUGUCCACGUGACUAAGCCCGACCUCGUGGAGGUAGCAUGUGGGAUGGCCCUUAGUGGGAUAUGUUUUCUUUGGGUGUUGCGUGAUGAUAUUGUGAGCUCGGAAGAUCCGGACCCCUUGCCUGUUGGAUUCAGAAAAGAGGUUUCGGAUCGGGCGAUGAUUGUCGGGUGGUGUAGUCAGAAGGAAGUUCUAGCGCAUGAGGCGAUCGGAGGGUUCCUAACUCACUGUGGGUGGAACUCGGUGCUGGAGAGCACUUGGUGUGGAGUGCCAAUGCUGUGUUUUCCUUUGUUUGUGGAUCAGUUCACGAACCAAAAGCUAGUGGUGGAUGAUUGGAAGGUUGGGAUUAACCUUGUUGACCAGACGAUUGUGACGAAAGAAGAAGUAUCGAAGAAUGCCACUCGUUUAAUGGUUGGAAAAUCGAGAGACGAGCUCAAGGAAAGAAUCAAAGAGGUGAACAGAAUCUUGGUGGAUGCACUCGAGCCUAAUGGAUCGUCCAAACAGAAUUUGGUCCGAUUCAUUAGAGAACUCAAAGACAUGAUUAUAUAUAGACACCAGUGAAUGGACCAUUGGAUUGAGUUGGUUAUAAAGUAUGGUAGCUGCAAAUCAAUUAUUAGGAUGUUUGAAAUUCGUGGGCCAUCUUUGUCAAAAGGAAAACCUUGUGGGCCAGCUGGAUUCAUUAUUUUGAUGUGGAUGAUUGAUUAACCAAGUAGAUAUAAUAUUCUAUUCUAGUACUCCAAUUUUUAACUCAUUCAUCAUUGAUCACUCUAUCACAUUAAACUUAGGGAAUGUGCUAUUUGAACAAUUAAAAAAAUGAAUCGUCAUCUAUAUUUUUACUAAUUUAAUGAUAUAAACUAAAAGUGUAAUACUUUUUGCCAAUUGCUAUAUAUUUGACUCAUUUAUUAUUGAUUUUUAGUUGUUUGAGUCGUAGUCAUGGUGUUGAGAGCGGACGUAAUAAAUUAUGGUGGAAGAUGAUAAUUUUAUCAAAAAUUAUUAGGAUUUACGGAUGGAAGAAACUUUUCAGGGGAGUAUAAAUUUUUUUCCGAAAGAAAAUAACUAAGACAAUACUGAAAAUUCAAAUUGAAAUAAUUUAGAGCGAUUAAGAUUGGUGAUUAAUAUAGCCAUGAACGAAGACAAAAAUUAAAUAAUUUUUUUUGACAUGAUCAUGGAUCAACUUUAUCCAUUCAUCCUUCAUAUAUAUCCACAAAAAUGAAAAAUCCUUCUAAACAAAACAUAAUCACACAAAGCAAAUCAUGGCGGAUGAGACACACGGCGGCGGCGCAUACGCCAUCGUGGUCACUUUCCCGCUUCAAGGCCAUGUCAUCCCCGCCGUCCACCUCGCCGUCAAGCUCGCCUCCCAAGGUUUCACUAUCACCUUUGUCAACACCCACUACAUCCACCACAAGAUCACCUCGUCAUCGGUCGUCGCUGCCGCCGGCGACGAUAUUUUUCUGCGUCCGGGAAUCGGGGUCGGACAUAAGGUACAAAACCAUUUCGGAUGGGAAACCAUGACGAAUUCUUGGCUUCGAUUAUGCACGUGUUCCCUGCCCACGUGGAGGAGUUGGUAGCCGGGAUGGUUGCCGCCGGUGAGGAAGAGGAGGUGGAGAAGGUUAGUUGUUUGGUGGCCGACACUUUCUUCGUGUGGCCGUCGAAGGUUGCAAAGAAGUUCAGGUUGGUUUACGUUUCGGUUUGGACCCAACCGGUUUGGUUUUCACCUUGCACCAUCAUGUCCACCUUCUUCGCCAAAAUGGUCACUUUGGUUGUCGAGGUAAUUUAUCUAUUCCAAGUUUUUACUUUGUAGAGGUUAGGAAAGAUGGUAAAUGAGUGUUAUGAACUUAAUCAUGGUUUUGAUUACUUUUAGAUCG